AGAGUUUGAUCAUGGCUCAGAGCGAACGCUGGCGGCGUGCCUAACACAUGCAAGUCGAACGUGAAAGGGAGCAAUCCCAAGUAAAGUGGCGUACGGGUGAGUAACACGUAGGUAAUCUACCCUAGAAUCUGGAAUAACCUGCCGAAAGGCGGGCUAAUACUGGAUAGAGCGACGGAAUCCGUAAUUGGGUUUUUCGGGAAAGGGAGCUCGCAAGAGCCUUCGUUCUAGGAUGAGCCUGCGUCCCAUUAGCUAGUUGGUAAGGUAAUGGCUUACCAAGGCUUUGAUGGGUAGCUGGUCUGAGAGGAUGAUCAGCCACACUGGAACUGAAACACGGUCCAGACUCCUACGGGAGGCAGCAGUGGGGAAUCUUGCGCAAUGGACGAAAGUCUGACGCAGCCACGCCGCGUGAGUGAAGAAGGCCUUCGGGUUGUAAAGCUCUGUCGUUCGGGACGAAAAUCCAGUAAGUGAAUAGCUUAUGGGACUGACGGUACCGGAAAAGGAAGCACCGGCUAACUCCGUGCCAGCAGCCGCGGUA
rnacentral:rRNA from 1 species